GUUGUGACAGGAGGAAAAUUCCAUUAAUUCAUCUUCCAUGAAGUCAUUGGAGUCUUCCUCACUAGUUCCACUCAGCAAGACAUUAGAAGACCCUGUGACUGGCAUGGAGGACAGGAAGUUUGACCACUGUCACGCUCUUGAGAUUGCUGUUCCUUAGGCUCUCCUGAAGGCUGCUGGGUUAACCACAGAAGACAGAUCAAAGAUGGGAGAGAGUCUUCACGGAAAAGGAGGACUAUUGAGCACCCAGAGGAAACCCGUGUGAACAAGGAGAGAACAUACAAAACUGGACAGAGAUAGUACCCCAGGUCUGGAAAUGAAUUGAGCAGUUUCCCCAGCACUGAAAAGCAGUAAUGCUAGCCAUCACUUUGACCACCACCUUGACUCUCAAUUUAAUUUCAAUUUCAUAAAAUACAGAAGUUCAUUAAAGACCUGGGUAUGUUUGCUGUUUUCAUCAUUGGCCUCCACCACAAAGUCACCACUCAAAUCACACUUUCAGACAGAAAAAGAAACAGGUUUUUUUUUUACAAAGGGUGGAAAUACCACCUUGGUCAUUUCCCACCCAAAACCAAAGUGCAAAGAUUAUCCUUUUAGUGCUUCCUAUAGAUAAGAUGAGAAACAAACCAGGGCGUAAACAGAUGGUUACCCAUUGGAGUAAAAUGCACUGCAGUGUAACAAAUAGGCUAUAAUUGAUAUUUUCAAAGUUAUUAUCUGAAAUAAAACUUAAUGAAUAAAUUAGCUGUAGACUAAGCAAAGCACAUAGCAUAUUGAAUUUUGAGACCUUUUCAUUCCAAUUUGCUUAGUAAAGUCAAAGAACAUAAACAUUUUCUUAAAUGUAGAAAUGACACAGCAGGAGUUUAACAAACAUUUGCCU